rfam:Myotis lucifugus cont2.29668, whole genome shotgun sequence.
CUAAAGGCUCUUUUAAGAACCAAAUAUAAUGACAAGGAAAUAUAA